AAGCAGUGAAAAUCUUAGACAUUACAAAAGCAAACCAACGGAUAUUUGUCAGUUUUUCCUUCUGUUCUUCACAUCCCAUUUUCCCGUCAAAAUCUUCUUUGCAGUUUUCCUGGUCUGAAUUUUUCCUGGAAAAUCUCAAACUUUUCUAUUCGCGUGCAUUCAUAUUCCCCAGAUAAAGUCGAAAUCUUUCUUCUUUCUCUCUCUUGAAUAAGAACAACCAAAACAACAACAAUAGACAGCAAGGAUUCAGGUUUUCCUGAGAAGGGUAUUUCUUAGCUGAAUUUGAGGUUUGUCUGUUUCUCUCUAAAUUGGGAUUUGUUUACUCUUUUGGAUAAACAGAACAAAUCCUGAUUUGGAGGGAAAGAAAGUUCUGGUUUUUUUCGUUUUUCCUUUAUGUGUUUAGAGUUUCCGCUACCUUCAAUUCUUUUUUCUUACGUUUAACGGGUGAAAAACAAAACCCAUUUGAGCUUCAAGGGAACCUCAGGAUUUUCAAGCCGUUUUCCAGCAAGCGAUGCCCAAAUGGAGGUUUAGGGGUGUUCUCUUGUGUAUGAGCUUGUCUUUAUAUGCUGAUGCCUUUUCUGAUUCCCCCAUAACAUACAGGUUUGGUUUGUAGGAUCUCAAAGUAAAUUUAUUAGGGAAAAAAAGAAAAGAAAAAGAAGGUGGGUUUAGAAACUCUUCCUUAUUUAUUUGUCUCAUUUUUAAGGUUUAGGAUAGAAUUGGUUAUUGAGUUUGGACUGGUUUUCUUGCAUUAGAAAUUUAGUUUCAACAUUUGGAUAGAUUCUGUUCCCUAUUUCCUUGGAUUGGAUUGGCUUGCUAGUCUUCUACUCUGAACACGUUAUCAUAUAAUUAAAUUAAAUUUCUUUCUGAAUUGGAGUUUCUCUACUUUGAAUUGUUGAAUUCCCCAUGGGGAAGAAUAGCGGAAAGAAGAAGAAACAGGCAGGGCAAGAAUCAAGUGAUAGUAGUGGAAAGCAUAGUAAAAGUGGGGUUAAUAGCCCAAAAGCCUCGGAUAAGGAUGCUGAGGUUUUCAUAUCCAUGUCCCAAGAAUUGAAGGAUGAGGGGAACAAGUUGUUCCAGAAAAGAGACCAUGAAGGAGCCAUGUUGAAAUAUGAGAAAGCCCUAAAAUUGCUUCCUAGAAACCAUAUUGAUGUCUCGUAUCUUCGGAGUAAUAUGGCUGCCUGCUAUAUGCAGAUGGGACCCAGUGAGUACCCCAGAGCUGUCCAUGAGUGCAAUUUAGCUCUUGAAGUGACACCAAAGUACAGCAAAGCUCUCUUAAAGAGAGCAAGGUGUUACGAGGCUUUGAAUAGAGUGGAUUUGGCUCUAAGAGAUGUUAGCACUGUUCUAAAAAUGGAACCAAAUAAUGUAAUGGCAUUAGAGAUAUCAGAAAGAAUUAGAACAAUGCUCGAAAGGAAGGGAUUAAAAGUAACUGAUGAUACAGUAAUUGAGUUGCCUCGAGACUAUGUUGAACCACCAUUGUUUUCACCUCCCCAAAAAGUUGUUAAAGAAAAGACACAGAAGAAGAAGAAGAAGAGCAACAAAGUUGAUGAGAAAAAGGUUGACAAAAAAGUGAAGGAAGAGAAGGUUGAGGAAACAGCAGAGGACAAGAAGGCUGACGUCAAGAUUGUUGUGGAGGAGAAAAUUAGCAGUAUAAAGGAAGAAGUGCCUAAAAAAAAUGUAAAAUUGAUCUUUGGAGAGGAUAUAAGAUGGGCUCAGUUACCAGUAAAUUGUACCCUCCCACAACUAAGGGAGAUUGUUCGUGAACGAUUUCCCAGUUCAAGAGCAGUUCUUAUUAAAUACAGAGACCAAGAAGACGAUUUGGUUACGAUCACUACUAAUGAAGAACUGAGGUGGGCUGAAGAAGCAACAGAAUCACAGGGCUCUGUCAGGUUACACAUUGUAGAAGUGGAACCUGAGCACGACCCAUUCUUUGAGAAAUUGAAUAAUGAGGAAGAGGUGCACAAGCUUAGUACUCCACAAAACAAUGUGGCAGAGAAUGGUGUAGUGGUUAAAGGCAAGGAAAUGAAGGUCUCAUCUUGCAUUGAGGACUGGAUAUUCCAGUUUGCUCAGCUCUUCAAGAACUAUGUUGGACUUGAAUCUGAUACAUACUUGGAUCUUCACCAACUUGGGAUCAAGCUCUACUCUGAGGCUAUGGAAGAGACUGUAACGAGUGAAGAAGCCCAAGUUCUUUUUGACAUAGCAGGAGAGAAGUUCCAAGAGAUGGCAGCUUUAGCAUUGUUCAACCGGGGAAAUGUUCACAUGUCAAGAGCAAGAAAGAGAGUAUAUUAUACAGGAGAUGAUUCAAAAGAAUCGGUCCUUUCACAAAUCAAAACUGCAUAUGAUUGGGUCCAAAAGGAAUAUGUAGAAGCCGGAAAAAGUUAUGAUGAAGCUCUGAAAAUCAAACCAGAUUUUUAUGAACCUUUUCUGGCUCUAGGACAGCAGCAAUUUGAGCAGGCAAGACUCUCUUGGUACUAUGCAAUUAGCAGAAAUGUUGAUUUGGGAACAUGGCCAUCUACAGAGGUUCUGCAACUUUAUAACAAAGCUGAAGACAACAUGGAAAAAGGCAUGCAGAUGUGGGAGGAAUGGGAAGAGCAACACCUACGUGAACUUUCCCAAAAAAACAAUGUCAAAACCCAGGUGCAGAAGAUGGCGCUGGAUGGACUUUUUAAAGAUAUAUCAGCAGAAGAAGCCAAAGAGCAGGCUAAGACCAUGAGGUCCCAGAUAAAUGUCUUAUGGGGAACCAUGCUCUAUGAGAGAUCUAUUGUGGAAUUCAAACUUGGGUUACCAGUAUGGCAUGAAUGUUUGUUAGUUGCAGUUGAGAAAUUUGAAGUUGCUGGGGCUUCUCCUACAGAUAUUGCCGUCAUGGUGAAAAAUCACUGUUCAAAUAAUGACGCACUGGAAGAUUUUGGGUUCAAAGUUGAUGAGAUUGUGCAGGCAUGGAGUGAAAUGCAUGAAGCAAAAACAUGGCGGAAUGGGAUACAAUCAUUCCGAUUGGAGCCAUUGUUUCGACGGCGAGUUUCAAAGCUUUAUUCUGCCUUGGGGCAUGUAUGAGUUACAUGAUUAUAAAUUGUUUUAGAAAAUAGUAGGGAAAAGAUUCCACAGCCCAGGAAAACAGUCUUUUCUAUUGAGGUUCUUUUUACGAUGUACCUCUAAAGUUCAGCUUCGGCCUUGUAUUUUUACAAAACAGUGGACAGUUGUGCAACAAAAGUCAAUAUUUUUCAUAGUUGUUUGCAGAAAACUAUUUUUAUUUCGUUUCUGUAUACUGGGGAGAAGGUGAGGUCGCAGGUCUUUCCAUUCUGCCUUCUCCCACAUUUCAUCCCCAAGUUUUAGCAGUUUCUGACAGUUGAGUCUUGUCUGUAUUAUUAGCAAAUCUUAGUUGAUUGUAUGUCUGGGUGAUUCUUAUUUAGAUUUUAGUGUCGGUUUCUCAUGUCACUUAAAUUCUGUUUAUCUUUAGCAGCAAGACUUUAUUCCAUUAAAUAACUUUUGUUACUUUUCAUGAAGUAAAAUUAUUCAGAAAGUAUCAAACUUUUUCAGGGUC